rnacentral:rRNA from 1 species
AGCGAACGCUGGCGGCAGGCCUAACACAUGCAAGUCGAACGGAUCCUUCGGGAUUAGUGGCGGACGGGUGAGUAACACGUGGGAACGUGCCUUUUGGUUCGGAACAACUCAGGGAAACUUGAGCUAAUACCGGAUAAGCCUUUCGAGGGAAAGAUUUAUCGCCAUUAGAGCGGCCCGCGUAGGAUUAGCUAGUUGGUGGGGUAAAGGCCCACCAAGGCUACGAUCCUUAGCUGGUCUGAGAGGAUGAUCAGCCACAUUGGGACUGAGACACGGCCCAAACUCCUACGGGAGGCAGCAGUGGGGAAUCUUGCGCAAUGGGCGAAAGCCUGACGCAGCCAUGCCGCGUGAAUGAUGAAGGUCUUAGGAUUGUAAAAUUCUUUCACCGAGGACGAUAAUGACGGUACUCGGAGAAGAAGCCCCGGCUAACUCGUG